rnacentral:rRNA from 1 species
UACAGAGGUCUCAAGCGUUGUUCGGAUUCAUUGGGCGUAAAGGGUGCGUAGGUGGCGCCGUAAGUCAGGUGUGAAAUCUCGGGGCUCAACCCCGAAACUGCACUUGAUACUGCGGUGCUCGAGUACUGGAGAGGAGAUUGGAAUUUACGGUGUAGCAGUGAAAUGCGUAGAUAUCGUAAGGAAGACCAGUGGCGAAGGCGAAUCUCUGGACAGUUACUGACGCUGAGGUGCGAAAGCGUGGGGAGCAAACAGG